UGGAGUAACUGGAAACACAAAACAGACAUUAACAGGAAGGGUAGGAUUUGACUGAUACCGCAAGAAUCAAGGAAGAUGAAGUUAUAGACUGCAUUGAUGUGAGAUUCAAGGGAUAAUUGUGUGUUAGUGGAAAUAGCAAGAUCUUGGGAUAUUGCAACUCAUUGAAGACGCGAGGGGAUCCUAAGCCAGCACGCGCGCACAGUCCACUUCCGCACGACGGGCGUACAGGACCAUCGUGUUUUUAUUUUUAUUAUUAUUAUUUUUUUUUUUUUUGGUAUUUACAGCACUUUUUUUUUUAGUAAAGAAAUCGCUUAUUUACGAUAGCUUGGUCAUUACUGAACACAGUUACUUGCCUUGUAAAGGGAGGGUAGUCUGUUUUGACUGAACUUUCGUCAAUUUCCCAGAGUAACCUUUCUUUUCCCCUUGUAAAAAAAAUGGCGAGACGAUAUACGAGAAAUGUGAGGCUCCUACCCGCUAUUAAAACCUUUAAACGUGCACUAAAAUCAAACCUCUUCCGUAAACAUUCCUCCUGACACACUUUGACAUCAUACUACUGCUUUUUUACACCCUUUCUUGAUCGUUUUCCUGUUACAAUAUCUGCUUUUGUUACUUGAAUCCUCUUUGCGCUUUUUGUAUGUGAUUUUAAUCUUUGUUAGUACUGUUGUUGUUUCUUUUAUAGCGCAUGUGUUGUUUGUUUUCCUGUCCUUUGCAUUCUGUCCAUUUUUCGUUCUUGCUCUGACUAAGAGCAUGCUCCUUAGGAGUGUGAAUAUGCGCUUUACAAUAUUAUUAUUAUUUAUUUUUUUUAAGAUUAUUAUUUUUUAAUAAGCGGUGGAAGUGUUUUUUUGUCUGCGUGCAUUUCCACGCUCAUGUAAGAUUCGAAUCGAUGGUAUCGCUUGACUGCGAAAGCUUUAAACUGUCGUCACAGAUAUUUCAGAUAUUUUGAUACAAAAUUUGAACGUCGUCUGUGUUAGAUAAAUGCAAACACAUUCGUUUCAGUUGGAGCUUCUUGAUUCGAGCAGUUACCAUGUGGCGAAUUGCACCUCUGUUCUGGCUUCUUGUAGGUUUUGGUGUCAAUGGUGCUCUCUAUACAAGAGGAACACGUUGGUUUAUAUAUACGUACACAUCGGAUAUUGAGCACGCCGAUACUGACGCCAGUGUGUACAUUAUCCUCAUUGACGCAAAUGGCGACAAUCCGAUGGAAUAUUAUUAGACGCUUGGUUGAACAACGACUUUCGGCAAGGUGCCCGAGACAGCUUCGAUGUAGGCGACGAGAUUAACUUAAGCGACGUAUGCUUUAUCAGAAUCUAUCAUGAUAACACUGGCGAUUCCCCUGGCUUGCAUCUCGAAAAGGUGCAUAUAAGAAAUCUUAGAUUGAGGACGACUCGCGAAUUUUUUUGCGACUUCUGGGUCCCAACACAAGAAGAAGAGAGGCGAUCAAACCGUACAAUAGAGCGCUCGCCACCGUGUAGCGCAGGUUACCUGGAUUGAUUGAUCAACGUGGCAAGGGUAGACAGUGGAUGACAAGGAUGUAGAGAAGAAACGUCGCUUUGGAGCAGAUUUCCUGAGGUCAACUCACAGUACUGCAAACUUAAAUUUUGUUUUUACCGUCUAAGCUUUGAAGGCAUCCAGGUCUCAAAUACUUGCUGAAAUUUCUUGUAUUUGUAGAGACUUGCUGGCAUGUCACAAUAAAGAACGUCUG